GGAAGUAUAACCUGGACCUGCUGGGAAUAGUCCCAACUGACUGACUAAGGAUAGUCCUUAGUCACCCAGGAGUUUGGAGACGCGCUCGACAAGCUCAAGGACAGUAUGAGCACCGUGCAGAGUAAAGCUAAACUUGAAGGUAUGUUAGUAUGAAGUAUAACCUGGAUCCUGCUGGAACUAUCCUUAGUCACCCAGGAGUUUGGAGACGCACUCGACAAGCUCAAGGACAGUAUGAGCACCGUGCAGAGUAAAGCUAAACUUGAAGACGCCGGUCCCGGACCCCACAACAUCACCAGCGCGGAGAUGGCGCCGUGAGCUCCGCCGAUGCCAAAUAUCUAGAGUAGUGUAGCCUUAACACCAACUAACACAAUCCAGAGGUGCUCUUUUACCGCCUGGGAUCCCGUUUUAUGAUGCUUCACUUUAAAAGGCAUUUGACAUUUCGUGUCAGUGUUACCACAUUAGAGAAGCCCACAGUUUUGUAAAAAAUCGACCAACUCAAUUUAUCAAUGCAAGAUGAUUUUCAGUCGAAAAAAAAAGUUGGUCGCUUUCUACAGAACUAUAGUUAUAUAAAGUUGUAGCUUUAUAAAUUGCUUCUCAGGAGACAGUUUGUACCAUUUAAAUGCUAUGACAACUGUAACUUGUAAUGCAAGCUGAAGUAUAUUUCCAUCAAAUGGAGAUGUGAAGAAACGAAUGUGUGUAUUAGAAGUAUUUAUAAUAUAAAACGGAAAAGCACCUUAAGGAAUUUUUUAUAUUAGACUGAUAGUGACCCAGUACGAGUAAACCCAGUGGUUAGAUACUGUUGUAAAAUGUAGGCCUAGUGUAAACGUGCCGCAACACGACUGAUGUUAACUUAGCAAUAAAAAUGAAACUCAUGUUUUAACUUUUGCAAAUAUUUAAUCUCUUUCAUAAUUGUGGAUCUAUAUAUUUAUAUUGUACAAGUAAUAUGAUACAAUUACAUUUGAUUGCGACAGAAUUCUGACGUCACUGAGUGAGCACGAAACCAGCAUAGUGACCGUUCACUGUACAAUCAUACAAUAUUGAUAUAAUAAUUGAUCUUAAAUAAUAUACACACAAAUUAUUUGUCUCCCUU